CCUACGGGCGGCAGCAGUGAGGAAUAUUGGUCAAUGGGCGCGAGCCUGAACCAGCCAAGUCGCGUGAGGGAUGAAGGUUCUAUGGAUCGUAAACCUCUUUUAUAAGGGAAUAAAGUGUGGGACGUGUCCUAUUUUGUAUGUACCUUAUGAAUAAGGAUAGGCUAACUCCGUGCCAGCCGCCGCGGUAAUACGGAGGAUACGAGCGUUGUCCGGAUUGAUUGGGGUUAAGGGGUGGGCAGGCGGCCUUUUAAGUAAGCGGGGAAAGUCUGUGGCUCAACCAUAGAAUUGCAGUUGAAACUGGGGGGCUUGAGGAUGGUUGAGGCAGGCGGAAUGCGUGGUGUAGCGGUGAAAUGCGUAGAGAUCACGCAGAACCCCGAUGGCGAAGGCAGCCUGCCAAGCCAUGACUGACGCUGAUGCACGAAAGCGUGGGGAUCAAACAGGAUUAGAUACCCCAGUAGUC
rnacentral:rRNA from 1 species